GCGCGAAAACUCCGCAAUGCGCGAAAGCGCGACGGGGCCAUCCCGAGUGCCGGCCGAGUGAAUAAGGGGAGGGCAAGUCUGGUGUCAGCCGCCGCGGUAAUACCAGCUCCUCGAGUGGUUGGGACGAUUAUUGGGUCUAAAGCGUCCGUAGCCGGCCGGAAAAGUUUUCCGUUAAAUCCAACGAUCCAAUCGUUGGGCUGCGGGGAAUACUCUUCGGCUUGGGGGCGAGGGAGGUCGGCGGUAGUCUCGGGGUAGGGGCGAAAUCCUAUAAUCCCGAGAGGACCACCAGUGGCGAAGGCGGCCGACUAAAGCGCGCCCGACGGUGAGGGACGAAAGCUGGGGGAGCGAACGGGAUUAGAUACCCCGGUAGUCCCAGCUGUAAACGAUGCAGGCUAGGUGUUGGGACGGCCACGAGCUGUCCCAGUGCCGCAGGGAAGCCAUUAAGCCUGCCACCUGGGGAGUACGGUCGCAAGGCUGAAACUUAAAGGAAUUGGCGGGGGAGCACACAAGGGGUGAAGCUUGCGGUUUAAUUGGAGUCAACACCGGGAAACUUACCAAGAGCGACAGUGGAUGAAGGUCAGAUUAAAGGUCUUACCGGACUAGCUGAGAAGAAGUGCAUGGCC
rnacentral:rRNA from 1 species